ACAGAAUUCUGGGAAAGGUUUGGAGGUAGCUGUGAUUUCUAUCUUUCUACAGGUUUUCUGGCCCUUUUUGAGAUACCAAAUUAAGAGGAGAAAAACUGUUUGAACUGGCAGCUGGCAGUUAGAAGGAAGACCAAAGAAGAAUCAUCAAUUCACACUGGACCUACUUUGGACUUUACCUCUGGGAUCUUGGCACAUUUACUGGACUCUUUGUUGUGAGAAUGUAAAGGUUUAAAAAAAAGAAAAUGGAGAAAAUGAGGAUUAUUGAAGAGACAAUGUGUUGAAGAAGAUAAUAUCAAAAAGGAAAAGUACCAUUUCUUCAUUUGAGAAAGGAAUGAAGAAAGAUAUAGGUGAUACAAGCAUCUAGAACAUAUGAAAUGAAGAGGAAAAGAAAAGAGAAAGCUUUAGAAUGGAUACCAAGUGCUAAUAUUGGAUGAUGAUUUGAGACACAGCUAUCUAGAUUUCUCUAUAUUGUUAAUAAAAGAGAGUAUGACAUGGCCCCCUAUCUAGCACCUCAAUUUCUGUAAAAUACUAUAUACUAAAAUUAAAAAAAAAGAUUAAAACCUGUUUACUUAUGGUUGUAAGUAUAAUUCAAUAUAAAGAAAAAUUAGAAGUACUACAAAUAUGUUAGUUCAAAUUAAAUAAAUCAUUAACUUUGCUAGCAAUGCAUGUUUUUUCUUAACUCUCAAUUCUGGAAAUCUCUUUUUAUAUGAUUAUGUGAACUUUAAUGUGGCUCAUUUUACAGAAGGACAAUACUAUCCAAGGAUGUUUUAACUUUAUGUAUCAUUUUCCCCCAUGCCGCUACAUUUCACUCCUUCCCAGGUUAAAAAAAUUAUAAACAUCCUUGCUGACUAAAAUUCUGAAGAGUAAGCAUGUUAAAAGUUAGGAACACAUUGCACUGUAUUUGUCUCAGUCUACUAGUCCUAUGAAUUGCUUUUAUUAGUAUUGUCUGUUACACAGAG